AAGGAUCAUUACCUGGAAAGGGGACCUGUCUGGUCGUCAGACCCGCGCAGGUCCCUUUCUUACACCCUUGUCUAUGAGCACCCUUUUGUUGUUUCCUCGGCGGGUUCGCCCGCCGGCAGGAACCCUUUAACCAUUUUGCAUCAGCAUCAUACUUCUGAUCUAAACAAAAAUCAUAACAACUUUCAACAAUGGAUCUCUUGGUUCUGGCAUCGAUGAAGAACGCAGCGAAAUGCGAUAAGUAGUGUGAAUUGCAGAAUUCAGUGAAUCAUCGAAUCUUUGAACGCACAUUGCGCCCCUUGGUAUUCCAUGGGGCAUGCCUGUUCGAGCGUCAUUUACACCCUCAAGCUCUGCUUGGUGUUGGGCGUCUGUCCCGCCGCUCGUCGGCGUGAGGACUCGCCUUAAAGGUAUUGGCGGCGGCCUUUGCCAGCUUCUCGCGCAGCGAAGAUUGCGUCGAUCGAAGCGCGGCACCGGGCUCGCGUCCAUCAAGUUCACCACGACUUGACCUCGGAUCAGGUAGGGAUACCCGCUGAACUUAA
rnacentral:rRNA from 1 species